GCGAAAUUAAGUUAAAAAGACUGUUUGUUUUCAAAACAAUUAGUGGUUGUUUUGGCCAUUUUGCG
rnacentral:tRNA from 1 species